CUCAAUGAAAAUUAAAUAGCCGCAAACAUAUUUGUGCUAAGGUAGCAUAAUCAUUUGUUUUUUAAUUAAAAACUAGUACGAAAGAUUUAACAUUUCUAUUUCUUUUUUAUAUUUACCCAUUAAACUUAUUUUAAAUAUAAAAAAAUAUUUAUUUUCAAAAAAGACGACAAGACCCUAUUGAACUUAACUAAAGUUAAACUGGGGUAGUUAAUUAAAUACAAUUUUAAUUUAAAUUAAAAAAAAACCUAAUUCAAUUAAAUAUAUUAAGUUACCAUAGGGAUAACAGCGCAAUAAUUUUCCAAAGAUCUUAUUUAAAAAUUUGUUUACGACCUCGAUGUUGAAUUAAUAAUCUUUUAAAUGCAAUAAUUUAAAAAGAAAGUCUGUUCGACUU
rnacentral:rRNA from 1 species